AUUGAACGCUGGCGGCAGGCUUAACACAUGCAAGUCGAGCGGGGAAGGGUAGCUUGCUACCUGACCUAGCGGCGGACGGGUGAGUAAUGCUUAGGAAUCUGCCUAUUAGUGGGGGACAACAUUCCGAAAGGAAUGCUAAUACCGCAUACGCCCUACGAGGGAAAGCAGGGGAUCUUCGGACCUUGCGCUAAUAGAUGAGCCUAAGUCAGAUUAGCUAGUUGGUGGGGUAAAGGCCUACCAAGGCGACGAUCUGUAGCGGGUCUGAGAGGAUGAUCCGCCACACUGGGACUGAGACACGGCCCAGACUCCUACGGGAGGCAGCAGUGGGGAAUAUUGGACAAUGGGCGCAAGCCUGAUCCAGCCAUGCCGCGUGUGUGAAGAAGGCCUUUUGGUUGCAAAGCACUUUAAGCGAGGAGGAGGCUACUUGGAUUAAUACUCUAGGAUAGUGGACGUUACUCGCAGAAUAAGCACCGGCUAACUCUGUGCCAGCAGCCGCGGUAAUACAGAGGGUGCGAGCGUUAAUCGGAUUUACUGGGCGUAAAGCGUGCGUAGGCGGCUUUUUAAGUCGGAUGUGAAAUCCCUGAGCUUAACUUAGGAAUUGCAUUCGAUACUGGGAGGCUAGAGUAUGGGAGAGGAUGGUAGAAUUCAGUUUAGCGGUGACUGCGUAGAGAUCUGGAUGAUACCGAUGGCGAAAGCAGCCAUCUGGCCUAAUACUGACGCUGAGGUACGAAAGCAUGGGGAGCAAACAGGG
rnacentral:rRNA from 1 species